rnacentral:misc_RNA from 1 species
UCUGUCUGCGCCUCCCGGUCACUGCCAACAGCACCACCACCUACCACCAACACCGGCAGCGCGCAACUGCGGCCUCCCCUCCCCUCCCUCUUCCAGUGCUUACUCUCACAGACAUAGACUCGCACGGGCACAGGAGGCACCUCGCAAAACCUCCUUUCGCUCUCUGUAUCUGGAGGGAGGGGCAGAGCAAGGCAUGCGCCGCAGCGCGGUACUUAGAAAGGCGCUUCCGCCUCUCCGCCUCUCGACAAGCGGGAGAGUGGACGAGGAGGCGCAGCCAGCCACCCAGCCUUUCGCGGCGUCUUGGCAUACGUGCACCAGGAAUGGCAUUCCAGUUCGCUGCUUCUGCGAGGUGGACUUUGGCACCAGACUCACCUCCCCACUCUCAUCCGCCGUGACAGGGGCGAUGGCGUUACUGUGCGGCAACAUCGCUACCGCCAGCCGCCCUUCCGGAACGCUGACGUGUGCCAUGCGGUAUUACACGGCGCCCUCGGCUGAGGAGUCUGUCUGCGAUGUUGACGCAAAGACGGACACUCUCACCGACGCUGGCUCAGCUGAAGCGCGCGCUGAGCGUCCGGUAGGAACGAAGACGUCCUCGAAGAGGACCACGGUUACAUCGAGCCAAGCAUCCAUAACGAGGCCACCGAUCCCGGCGCCACUCACCUCCAGCAGCAGUAGCCCCUCUGCUCCGCCGCUGCGAGACACUCAGCAGACUGAACGCCUAAAGGCUACCCCCCAGCCUUCUGCGCACGAAACCAAGGUGGCAGGUGGAGAGGGCGGCAGUGAUGUGGUCGUCGGCAGAACCGAUGCAGAUGUGUACGAAGGAGGAAGUCGCCUCGUGAAGGGCGAGGCAGGAAACGCCGCCGCAGCGGCAGGCGCGGAUGACGAGGAUGACGACAGUAUCACCUUCUCUGAGGCGGCCUCGGUCGCGGACCUCUUUGAGAUAGAUGAGGUGAAGCUGAGUGCAGCGGGGGCGGAUUCCGCAAGAGCUACCGAAGGCGCGCACCAGCACGCUGGCGACCAUUCCGGUGUGUCUGGUGCCACGGGCCGCAGAGGUACUCUAUCCGCCUUUGCACUGCCCGCCGACCACAGCCGAAGCGGCAGUGGAAGCACUGCCGCCGGAAUCGAGGACACGCUCUUGAGCGAUCCGUUUCACGUGCCGAGCGUGGACGACGACGCGUUCGCACGGGACGGGGACCUGCCGGCCUCAGCGGUGGCGAGCUACAGUGCCGUCUCGAGCCCGCAAAACCUCAACGAGAACGUGCUCUCCGCCGUUGACGUGCUGUGCGACGAUUUGUUUCACUGCAAAACGUCUGUCCUGCGCUCCUUCGCCCGCACGCGCUCCAUUUCCGCUCAUAAAAAGGUAGAGGUGGUGCUGCGCCUCCUCGAAAAGGCCCACCACGAUGCCCAUGGCGAGAGCAACGACCUCAGCGUCACGCGUCGCCUGCUAGGCGACGUCUUCGAUGAAAACGUUCGCACAAGCGGGCUCCGCAUGGCGUGGACGAACAAGUCGCUGGAGGCGGCGCACAUCGAAGAGGCGUGCGAGUCCCACCUUAGUUUUGACUUGCUCGCGAACUCGACGAAGGCGCUCAUGGUGCGGCGGCACGCGGGCGAAAUCUCGCGUGUGCUGCGCAAGCUCACCCGAGUGUUUCAGCAAGAGCAAGAGCAGAUCUCCCUCGCCGCAGUGGGUGGCGUGUUCCGCAAUUACCGCGCCGCCGCCGACGAGCUGGUGCGGGAGCUGCCGGUGUGCGAGCUGCUCAGCCCCUUUGCGGGCUACCUGGUCAGCUAUGUACGCUACGGCGCCGCGAAGGAGACGCUGACGCGGGCUGAUGUGAACGAGCGCCUUGUCCAGCUGGGUGUGGUUCAACCCACUGUCCAGGAGGCAGACGACAGCGCCCUGCUGCACCGCCUCAUGGGCCUCCUCGACCCCGCUGUGCAGCAGGUCGAGCGGCGGGCAGAGUGCUUUCGCCACGCGGAGCAGCCCCGAGUGGUCGGGAUGGAGAACAGCGACGUUAUCGCGAGCACCAUCCGCGCCUUCAGCGAAGUGUCCCACACUAAGUGGAACACGCAGGCAGCACCGGACUGGGUGCACGACCUCGCGCGACUCUUCUGCAACUGGGAAGCGAUCCUCCGCACCGACCUGCCACGGUUCGAGGAGGUGCCGCGGCACUUCUUUGACUGCAUCCUCUCUGGCGUGGUCUGCCUCUACAUUGCCCAGCGCGUGUAUGGCAACUCGGUGGGAGCGACUGUCGUGCCGCUGUACCAGCGACUGGCCGUAAAGAAGUCACUGCGGCUGCACUUCAACAACGACGAUAACACGGAGAGCGCGUUGCGCGACAUCAUGUCCUACGUGCAGGCCGGCGUGACGGAGGUCCGCGGCGGCGUGCGAGGCGAGUUUUUCGCCGGUGUUCUCUCGCAAAUGCAAGGCGCCUUCCAGGAUGCGCAGGAGGAGCGGUCGGCCCUGCAUGAUGAGCGCGUCGCCGUCAUCUUGAACGCCGUCUGCGAUAUGGGGACGAACUGCACUCGCUCCGCCGGUCUCUUCAACCUCCUCGUGAAGAUCACCGAGGACCUCGCUUUCCACUUCCGCUUCCAGCGCAUUUACAAACGGCUGAGCGCGCCCGACCGCGCCACCAUCCGCACGAACGGGAGCAUUCGCAUGUCGCAGACGCUGGAGUACUUCGAGAAGGAGUUGCACGUGACGCCCAUCUCCACGAAGGCGGUCGGCUUCCUGGUGGUGCAGCUGCUCUAUCUGUCGUUUCGCGGCGAUGGCAGCAAGCGGCCGGUGCUCGAGCGCUUUGCGAGCGUGACCGGGGCAACGGAGCUGGACAUAGUUGGGCUCACCGAGAUGGCGGCUACGUCAGUGCGCGACCUGCACGUCGCCUUUCCCCCGCAGCUCUCCUACAACUCGUGGCUCAAUGAGUCCGACACCCGUGAAAAGUCUGUGUACGGCGUGUUGCCGUCCGUGGCGGUGAAAGGGUCGGCGAAUCAAGCGAUGAUUGUGUCGCAGGCGCCGAUGUUGAAGGCGCUCGACGCCAUCUCGCGUGUGCCAUGGCGCAUAAACAAGUACAUGCUGCACGUGCAGGAGGCUAUUGUGCGCGAGGGAUUUGGGUUUGGCAAGAUUCGGCCCGGCUUCUACCCUCUUCACUACUACUAUAUGAGCGACGGCGAAGUCAGGUACCCUUCAGAUCGCCGCCGCUCGGCGUUGCUGAACGACAAUGACGACGACGACGGCGACGACCUCGCUGCCGGUGACGUGUUCAAUCUGCUGCAGCGGCGGCAGUGCAUCCUGCAGCAGAAGCAAGACUGGAAGGAGCUGAGCGAGCUGCGCAGCAGCCGUAUUCAUUACCUGCUUGGACUGCGCCAGGCCCGCUCCAUCGUGCAGUUCUCGCACAUCUAUUUCCCCAAUAGCAUGGAUUUUCGCGGUCGCAUGUACCCGCUCCCGGGGCGGCUGAACCACACCGGGUCAGACCCGUUCCGUGGCCUGCUCGAGUACGCGGAGCCGAAGCCUCUGGGUGCGGUAGGGCUGUACUGGCUGAAGGUGCAUCUGGCAAACAAGAUGGGCAUGAGCAAGCUAUCCUUUGACGAGCGGGUGCACUACGUCGACGAGCACAUGGAGGACGUCGUGCAGAGCGCCGAGAGCCCCCUGGUCGGCGAUCGAUGGUGGCAGGAGGCGAGCGAACCGAUUCAGUGCCUCAUGGCGUGCAAGGAGGUGGCGGACGCGAUGAAGUGCUCGCAGGGCCCAGAGAAGUUCCUAUCGCGGCUACCCGUCGCGGUGGAUGGCAGCUACAAUGGUCUGCAGCACUACUCCGCCAUUGGUCGCGACGCGUUUGGCGCGAAACUGGUGAACUUGGUGCCGAGCGAGCGCCCUGCCGACGCCUACACGGGCAUCCUGAAGGAGAUGCUCAAGUCCAUAUGCAUCGACGCCGGCCGCGAUCACCAGGUGGCGCAGCGGUGCCUCGGCACCGGCAGAGGCCAGGACAAGGAUCACAUCAAGCGCAAGACGAUCAAGCGCCCCAUCAUGACACAGGUGUACGGUGUCACUAGCUACGGCAUGUCAGAGCAGAUCUUUGAUGAGCUGGUGAAGCAGAACAAGAGCCACGGACUUUGGACGCACACGGACAUGAAAGAGAUGGCGGCGUACCUGCGUGACAAGGUGCUGGAGUCGCUCGGCAUUACGUUCCGCGAAACCCAAAACUGCCGCAAGUGGAUUAGUGAGGUGACCACGCUGCUCUGGAAAGUGCAGCCGGCCGAGCUGCGCAACGCGCUGUGCUGGACUACCCCGCUCGGCCUUGUGGUUCGGCAGCCCUACAAGGUUCGGAACGAGUGCUCCCUGUUUACGCCCCACGGCUACAGCCGGGUACCUGGCGACUCCGUCGCCCCUGCGAGCCGCAAGCAGCUGACAGCCAUUGCGCCGAAUCUGAUUCACUCGCUUGAUGCGACGCAUCUCGCCAUGACUGCGCUGGAGAUGCAGCAUCAGGGGCUAUCCAUGAUGGCGGUGCACGACUCUUACUGGACGUACGCGUGCGACAUGCCGAAGUUGUCGCAGGUGUUGCGAGAGCAGUUCGUGAACCUGUACUCCAAGUACGACCCCUUGUGGGAGCUGAAGGAGCAGUGGGAGGAGACGUACUUCAUGGACCUGCGGCGGCACGGCGUGAAGCUGCCAGACCCGCCCAAGCGCGGUGAUCUGGACCUGAAUGUGGUCCUCAACUCACCAUACUUUUUCUCGUAGGCGUCACUAACGCGUGUGUGUCCGUCUGCUCUGCUUCUCGUGCGCGAGUGUGGUCCGCUGAUGUGCCAUGUCCCUGUUAUGCUUUGUGUAUGUGUGUGUGUGUGUGUGGCCCCCUCCCUUCUCCUCCAGCCACUUCAGCCUCUCGCCUUCCCGGUGCGCACUGCAGAGCCUCAGAAUGAUACAGAAGGCACAGCGCGAAAGGAGACACGCACGGGUCGAGAUAGGCAGUGUGAGGCAGGUUGGAGGGUGAUGGGCAGGUGGUAUGGCGAGAGGUCAGCAUCCGCUUGACAGCAUCGGUACUGUCCUAUGGAGGAAGCGCACACGAGCCCCGUUACGUGGCACGUGCCCUUUCAACCUCUCCUUGUUUUUUUCUUUACUUCAUGUCUACCCCCCCCCUUUCUCGCGUAGCGACGGGGCGUGAAGGUGAUGGCUGGCUGAGCACUGUCAUGGUCGUCAUUGUCGCCGCCGCCGCUAUCUUCUUCACAAGCUUAAGGUUUGUUUGGAGUUUGUCGUCGCUCUCUCUCUUGCUGUGGCUGUGAAGGCCCUCUGUUCCCGGCCGUGUUGUUGUCUGGGUCUUCAUGUGUUUCUGUGUCGCUCUAGAGUCCUCCUUCUGCGCCGGCUAGUUGAUCG